CACCGCCUGGGGAGUACGACCGCAAGGUUAAAACUCAAAUGAAUUGACGGGGACCCGCACAAGUAGUGGAGCAUGUGGUUUAAUUCGAAGAUACGCGCAGAACCUUACCAACACUUGACAUGUUCGUCGCGACUUUAAGAGAUUAAAGUUUUCGGUUCGGCCGGACGAAACACAGGUGCUGCAUGGCUGUCGUCAGCUCGUGUCGUGAGAUGUUGGGUUAAGUCCCGCAACGAGCGCAACCCUCACUUUUAGUUGCCAUCAUUAAGUUGGGCACUCUGAAAGAACUGCCAGUGAUAAGCUGGAGGAAGGUGGGGAUGACGUCAAGUCCUCAUGGCCCUUACGUGUUGGGCUACACACGUGCUACAAUGGUAUCUACAACAGGAAGCAAGACGGCGACGUUAAGCAAAUCCUUAAAAGAUACCUCAGUUCGGAUUGCACUCUGCAACUCGAGUGCAUGAAGCUGGAAUUACUAGUAAUCGUGGAUCAGCGUGCCACGGUGAAUGCGUUCCCGGGUCUUGUACACACCGCCCGUCACACCAUGGGAGUUGGUUCUACCUUAAGGCAAGGUUUAAAACCCUUGACCACGGUAUAGUCAGCGACUGGGGUGAAGUCGUAACAAGGUAGCCGUAGGGGAACCUGCGGCUGGAUUACCUCCUUUCUAAGGAUGAACAAAAGUAAAAUUUUGUUCUAAAUAAUAUACAUAGGCAAUGUUGACCGUCCUCAUUUCUCUUCUUAAGUUAGUGUUUCUCUUGCAUGGGGGCCGGUAGCUCAGUUGGUUAGAGCACACCCUUGAUAAGGGUGGGGUCGAAAGUUCGAGUCUUUCUCGGCCCACCAAUUAAGAUCAUGGGGGAUUAGCUCAGCUGGGAGAGCGCCUGAUUUGCAUUCAGGAGGUCAGCGGUUCGAUCCCGCUAUCCUCCACCAAAACACUUAGUUAUAUAAAAUUGUGAAUAAAUUUAAUUAAUAUCAAUAUCUAUAUCCGAACAUUAGUAAUGUUAUUAGCUAAUGUUCAAAAUAAAAAUUUGAUUCAACACAGAAUUUUUUUCUG
rnacentral:sRNA from 1 species